UACGUAGGGACCGAGCGUUGUCCGGAUUCAUUGGGCGUAAAGAGCUCGUAGGCGGCUGCUCAAGUCGAAUGUGAAAACUCGAGGCUCAACCUCGAGCCUGCAUUCGAUACUGGGCGGCUAGAGUCUGGUAGGGGGAUCUGGAAUUCCUGGUGUAGCGGUGGAAUGCGCAGAUAUCAGGAGGAACACCGGUGGCGAAGGCGGGAUCCUGGGCCAGUACUGACGCUGAGGAGCGAAAGCUGAGGGAGCAAACGGG
rnacentral:rRNA from 1 species